GGGGAUGCACCGGUUUCGACGGGGUCGGAGAUACCGGGGAAGCGGGUGGAGGAUUCUCGUUGGCCUCCUUAAAAAACGGGAACUUGCAAGUAAUUGCAACGAUCUGUACGCGGGAUGCACGUACAACUCAGACCUUGCUCCUGAGAGGUUAAAGGAGAUGUCCUCUUUCCAAAGCUUUGCGGAAAACCCGUGACAUAAAUUCAUGAAGCUACCGGAACCGACGCCUGACAGCGGGCUACGCGGGAAUGGGAAUAAUUCAUCCACUGUCUGCACCCGGAGAAGCCCGAUUGAUCUGAUUUCGGACAGGGGUUCGACUCCCCUCAUCUCCACCA
rnacentral:tmRNA from 1 species